rnacentral:lncRNA from 1 species
GAUAUCAUAUUCUAUUUGAAAAUUACAUAAAGCUAAUAUUGACCACAAUCCUAUCUGCCUGCCAGCAAUAAUUAUGUCUUAGACAGUACUGACUAGUUUUGUGAAACAUGUACAUAAAUAUUUUUUAGUUGCUAAAAAAACAGUGAGAAAUUGGUCUGGUAUCUUUGUAAGAGGUUUAAACCCUGAAACUAACCCUCCUCCCCUUCUAUAAAAAAUCUUCAGAUUAAUGUACAUCAAAAGUUUCUAGGGGCAUUGAGCUUUCAUGAGACACUAUGUAUGCAGUCAUGUUUGAGAUAUCAAUGAUACUUGUGGAUGUCAUGUGAAGUGCCAGCUGCCCCUGUCUUAGGUUGUCUCCCUUUCUGGGAGAUCUUACCCGUCAUUGGAAGCAGACCUGUGUCACUUGACAGAACAAAUAUCCAACAUUAGCCCCAUAAUACAUUUGAUGAAAAAAUCAAUACUUCAUUGAAGAAAUCAGCUUGUCAAAAUAUCUUUUCUGAUUCACCAAUAUAAAUGAUGACAUGAGUUUUUCUUACAGAAACCAGACCAAAAUUGUAAAAUUAGAAACUGAAAUACCUUUGCUUUUAAAAAGAAUGUUCAAAUAUAUUCACACUUACUAAAUUUGAAACUGCCAUUUAACUAACAACAUAUUGUGAUACUAUUACAAAGUCAUUCCAUGAUAUACCAUUCACAUUUUUUAUAUAUUGUAUCAAAAUCCAAUGAUAUGCCUUUCACAGUUCUAAUAUUUUCUAUCAAAAAACGAUGAUUUCUUAUUUUUUCUAUUGAAAUCCAAUGAUAUACCUUUCACAGCUCUUAUAUAUUCCAUAU